rnacentral:rRNA from 1 species
GACGAACGCUGGCGGCGCGCUUAACACAUGCAAGUCGAGCGAGAACCAGGGCUUCGGCCCUGGGGAAAGCGGCGAACGGGUGAGUAACACGUGAGUAAUCCACCCUCGGCACCGGGAUAGCCCGGGGAAACCCGGAUUAAUACCGGAUGGCCCGCCGGCCCUGCGGGGCUGGUGGAAAGGGUAGCUUCGGCCUCCGGCCGAGGACGAGCUCGCGGCGGAUUAGCUUGUUGGCGGGGUAACGGCCCACCAAGGCGACGAUCCGUAGCUGGUCUGAGGGGACGGUCAGCCACACGGGGACUGAGACGCGGCCGAGACUCCUACGGGAGGCAGCAGUGGGGAAUCUUGCGCAAUGGGCGAAAGCCUGGCGCAGCGACGCCGCGUUAGGGAAGAAGGCCUUCGGGUUGUAAACCUCUUUCAGUAGGGACGAAGCCACUCGGGUGAAUAGCCCAGAGGGUGACGGUACCUACAGAAGAAGCCCCGGCUAACUACGUGCCAGCCGCCGCCGUAAAAC